GUUCUAAUCGGCUACAUGUCACGGCUGUUCGUCGAUUAUUGAGCUGAACGCCACGCAGUGAAACGCCGUCAUGAGUGAACAUGACAGGACAGUCGAUGGUCUUCAGUAUCCACUUGAUGGCACAGGGAGCGCGGAUGUGGACCGCUGCAGGUGUGGCACACCUGCGUUCCAUCGAGGCCCAUCAGCUGCAGUUUAAGAAGAACUGGCUGCCUGCCCGCUAACUUCUGUGGCUCGCUUUGUCGUCCCAUCUGAGCUUUCCUGGAUUCCCUUGUUCUGAUCUGGAUGAUCUAUUAUCCACCACUAAAGAAAUGCUGAUAUCA